GUAGCAGCAUGUGGGGGGUGGCCAUGUACUUUGAAUCAUUAGCACGUCAAUUAUACUAUCACGCUGGCUACUCCUAGUUCACUGCGCAGAGGGAUGUUCUCCUUUCACUCUACCCUUUUUUUCAUCACUCAGCUCCAGUUGUACCUUCUUUGAGAAGCUUCUACAAACAGCCCAGUUGGAAGUGCUCUGUCCCCACUGUUAAUCCUCUUGUUUCUCACCGUUACGCUCUUAGUUUUCCAUUGUUACAUGUCUUGAAGAGGAGGCACAACUGCCUUCAUAUGAGUCCAGUGUGUGUUGUCAAAAUGUAACUUUUGAAUUGUUCUAAAGCCACAGUAAGAGAAGUAAGUGGUUCAAGUUUCGUGCCUUUACAUUUC
rnacentral:lncRNA from 1 species